AUUGAACGCUGGCGGCAGGCCUAACACAUGCAAGUCGAACGAGUGGCGGACGGGUGAGUAAUGUAUGGGAAACUGCCUGAUGGAGGGGGAUAAAUACUGGAAACGGUAGCUAAUACCGCAUACCAUCGGAUGUGCCCAGAUGGGAGUAGCUAGUAGGUGGGGUAAAGGCUCACGUAGGCGACGAUCCCUAGCUGGUCUGAGAGGAUGAACACCCCCACUGGAACUGUGUCACGGUCCAGACUCCUACGGGAGGCAGCCGUGGGGAAUAUUGCACAAUGGGUGCAAGCCUGAUGCAGCCAUGCCGCGUCUAGGAACAGGGCCUUCGGGUUUUAAAGUACUUUCAGCUGGGAGGCGUUACCCGCAGAUGAAGCACCGGCUAACUCCGUGCCAGCAGCCGCGGUAAUAC
rnacentral:rRNA from 1 species